GGAAUUUUGGACAAUGGGCGCAAGCCUGAUCCAGCAAUGCCGCGUGCAGGAUGAAGGCCUUCGGGUUGUAAACUGCUUUUGUACGGAACGAAACGGUCCUUUCUAAUACAAGGGGCUAAUGACGGUACCGUAAGAAUAAGCACCGGCUAACUACGUGCCAGCAGCCGCGGUAAUACGUAGGGUGCGAGCGUUAAUCGGAAUUACUGGGCGUAAAGCGUGCGCAGGCGGUUAUAUAAGACAGAUGUGAAAUCCCCGGGCUCAACCUGGGACCUGCAUUUGUGACUGUAUAGCUAGAGUGCGGCAGAGGGGGAUGGGAUUCCGCGUGUAGCAGUGAAAUGCGUAGAUAUGCGGAGGAACACCGAUGGCGAAGGCAAUCCCCUGGGCCUGCACUGACGCUCAUGCACGAAAGCGUGGGGAGCAAACAGGAUUAGAUACCCUGGUAGUCCACGCCCUAAACGAUGUCAACUGGUUGUUGGGUCUUCACUGACUCAGUAACGAAGCUAACGCGUGAAGUUGACCGCCUGGGGAGUACGGCCGCAAGGUUGAAACUCAAAUGAAUUGACGG
rnacentral:rRNA from 1 species